AAUAGAUACCCUGGUAGUCCACGCCGUAAACGAUGAGUGCUAAGUGUUAGAGGGUUUCCGCCCUUUAGUGCUGCAGCUAACGCAUUAAAGCACUCCGCCUGGGGAGUACGGCCGCAAGGCUGAAACUCAAAGGAAUUGACGGGGGCCCGCACAAGCGGUGGAGCAUGUGGUUUAAUUCGAAGCAACGCGAAGAACCUUACCAGGUCUUGACAUCCUCUGCCAACCCUAGAGAUAGGGCGUUCCCCUUCGGGGGACAGAGUGACAGGUGGUGCAUGGUUGUCGUCAGCUCGUGUCGUGAGAUGUUGGGUUAAGUCCCGCAACGAGCGCAACCCUUGAUCUUAGUUGCCAGCAUUCAGUUGGGCACUCGUAAGGUGACUGCCGGUGACAAACCGGAGGAAGGUGGGGAUGACGUCAAAUCAUCAUGCCCCUUAUGACCUGGGCUACACACGUGCUACAAUGGAUGGUACAAAGAGCUGCGAACCCGCGAGGGUAAGCGAAUCUCAUAAAGCCAUUCUCAGUUCGGAUUGU
rnacentral:rRNA from 1 species